CCGGGAAAGGCCCGGGCAGGCCGGGUGGGGCACCGGGACGGCCUCCCUGGGGAAGGAAGGGGUCGCAGCACCAGCCUGGCAGAGUUCCAGAAGCGUCUGGGGAAGGCUCUCCAGCGCACGGCCUUGGCUCCAAGACUUGUGUUCUUCCUGGCUCUGCUGACCAUCCAGCCCUGACUGCAGCACUUUGACCAGGCCAACAUGGACACAGCCAAAUGGACAGAAGUGUGUGAGGAAUAUCUGCAUCAUGAGGUGACCUGGCUGCUGCAGGUGAUAGAGGGAAAGAGGGGCACCGUGGAAGCCCCACUCCUUUCUGAAGUGCAGCAGCAGUGGCUGCUUUAAGAUGCUGUAUCAGCCCUGGUCCGGGUCACUGUGGGCUGCUGGCUGGACAGACAAAGGAAGCAUGCCUCUGCCAGCUACAGGGAGCAGGACAGCUGCAGCAGCAAGGAGGAGGACAAUGACCAGAAGUUCAAAGGUGCCCACAAUGGUCUCAGAUCUUUGUGAUCACCACAUCCAUCACCAAUGGAAACAUUCAAGCUAAGGCUGGAGGGGGCUGUGGGUAACAUGAUUUAGUUUAGAGUGCCCCUCCUCAUUGGGGCAAUGAUCUUUAGAGAUCCCUUCUGACCCCAGCUAUUCUGUGAUUCUAAAGCAGGACCUACCUAGCAGUUGAAGCAUGGACCAGCGUGAUAGAAUCAAGACCGGUAAUUUUAUCAUCUUCUAAGAUAAUACUAUGCAGUUCACCAAAAUGAUGAUCCUAGCCCAAUCCACAAAGACAAUAAACAGCAUAGGGGAGACAUCCUGCAAGAAAGGUAUUGCAUAACACAGCCCUGAUAACAAGUGAUUUUUAUUUAUUUUCUUUUGCUCUGAAAGGCAAUAAAUCAACCUUGUCACUAACAACUGUUAAACCAAUGUGAUGAAUUGUC